UACGUAGGGGCAAGCGUUAUCCGGAUUUACUGGGUGUAAAGGGAGCGCAGACGGAACUGCAAGUCCGAUGUGAAAGCCCGGGGCUCAACCGCGGGACUGCAUCGGAUACUGUGGAUCUGGAGUGCCGGAGGGGCAAGCGGAAUUCCUGGUGUAGCGGUGAAAUGCGCAGAUAUCAGGAGGAACACCAAUGGCGAAGGCAGGUCUCUGGGCAGUUACUGACGCUGAGGAGCGAAAGCAUGGGUAGCGAACAGGAUUA
rnacentral:rRNA from 1 species